AAACCCAGUUUCUUCAGGAACUUGCUUGUAAUGGCCUGAAUCAUGUGGACCACCUUUUCCCCAGUCUUUGUUCCCCAUGGCUUCGGCUGCUGCUUCAAGUGAAGCUCUCAUAUACUGUAAGUUCAACAUUUAAUUACAUCAUUAUUCUUAAUUU